rnacentral:rRNA from 1 species
UACGAAGGGGGCUAGCGUUGCUCGGAAUUACUGGGCGUAAAGGGCGCGUAGGCGGACAGUUAAGUCAGAGGUGAAAGCCCAGGGCUCAACCCUGGAAUUGCCUUUGAUACUGGCUGUCUUGAGUAUGGGAGAGGUGAGUGGAACUCCGAGUGUAGAGGUGAAAUUCGUAGAUAUUCGGAAGAACACCAGUGGCGAAGGCGGCUCACUGGUCCGGUACUGACGCUGAGGUGCGAAAGCGUGGGGAGCAAACAGG